rnacentral:rRNA from 1 species
UACGUAGGGUGCGAGCGUUAAUCGGAAUUACUGGGCGUAAAGCGUGCGCAGGCGGUUCGCUAAGACAGAUGUGAAAUCCCCGGGCUUAACCUGGGAAUGGCAUUUGGGACUGCAAGGCUGGAGUGUGGCAGAGGAGACUGGAAUUCCCGGUGUAGCAGUGAAAUGCGUAGAUAUCGGGAGAAAUACCGAUGGCGAAGGCAGGUCUCUGGGCUGACACUGACGCUCAUGCACGAAAGCGUGGGGAG